rnacentral:lncRNA from 1 species
AACUAGAGGCUCUAAAGAGCCUGUGUCGCUCACCUUGGUCUAUGUGACUAUUAAACAAAGGAAGCAGAUGGAUUCAUGACAAAAUUGUAUUUUGGUGAUGGUGAUGUGUUCGUACAUCUUACUUUACUGAACAUCCUUGCUGCUUACAAUUAUCUCUAUCUAUAAUGAACUUGGACCAGUAGUUUCAGUGAAAAAUGUUAGUAAAAAUUUACAAAUUUUAUAAAAAUUGUUGAAAAUUGACUAUAAAGGACAAUAACUCCUUAGGGGGUCAAUUGACCAUUUCGGUCAUGUUGACUUAUUUGUAAAUCUUACUUUGCUGAACAUUAUUGCUGUUUACAGUUUAUCUCUAUCUAUAAUAAUAUUCAAGACAAUAACCAAAAACAGCAAAAUUUCCUUAAAAUUACCAAUUCAGGGGCAGGAACCCAACAACGGGUUGUCCGAUUCAUCUGAAAAUUUCGGGGCAGAUAGAUCUUGACCUGAUAAACAAUUUAACCCCAUGUCAGAUUUGCUCUAAACGCUUUGGUUUUUGAGUUAUAAGCCAAAAACUGCAUUUUAACCCUAUGUUCUAUUUUUAGCCAUGGCGGCCAUCUUGGUUGGAUGGCCGGGUCAUCGGACACAUUUUUAAAACUAGAUACCCCAAAGAUGAUUGUGGAUAAGUUUGGAUUAAUUUGGCCCAGUAGUUUCAGAGGAGAAGAUUUUUGUAAAAGAUUACUAAGAUUUACGAAAAAUGGUUAAAAAUUGACUAUAAAGGGCAAUAACUCCUAUAUGGGUCAACUGACCAUUUCGGUCAUGUUGACUUAUUUGUAAAUCUUACUUUGCUGAACAUUAUUGCUGUUUACAGUUUAUUUCUAUCUAUAAUAAUUUUCAAGAUAAUAACCAAAAACAGUAAAAUUUCCUUAAAAUUACCAAUUCAGGGGCAGCAACCCAACAACGGGUUGUCCGAUUCAUCUCAAAAUUCGAGGGCAGAAAGAUCUUGACCUGAUAAACAAUUUUACACCUGUCAAAUUUGUUCUAAAUGCUUUGGUUUUUGAGUUAUAAGCCAAAAACUGCAUUUUACCCCUAUGUUCUAUUUUUAGCCAUGGCGGCCAUCUUGGUUGGUUGGCCGGGUCACACCACACAUUUUUUAAACUAGAUACCCCAAAGAUGAUUGUGGCCAAGUUUGGAUUAAUUUGGCCCAGUAGUUUCAGAGGAGAAGAUUUUUGUAAAAGAUUUCUAAGAUUUACGAAAAAUGGUUAAAAAUUGACUAUAAAGGUCAAUUACUCCUAAAGGGGUCAACUGACCAUUUUGGUCCUGUUGACUUAUUUGUAAAUCUAACUUUGCUGAACAUUAUUGCUGUUUACAGUUUAUCUCUAUCUAUAAUAAUAUUCAAGAUAAUAACCAAAAACAGCAAAAAAUCCCUAAAAUUACCAAUUCAGGGGCAGCAACCCAACAACAGGUUGUCGGAUUCAUCUGAAAAUUUGUAGGCAGAAAGAUUUUGACCUGAUAAACAAUUUUACCCCUGUCAGAUUUGCUCUAAAUGCUUUGGUUUUUGAGUUAUAAGCCAAAAACUGCAUUUUACCCCUAUGUUCUAUUUUUAGCCAUGGCGGCCAUCUUAGUUGGUUGGCCGGGUCACGCCACACAUUUUUUAAACUAGAUACCCCAAUGAUGAUUGUGGCCAAGUUUGGUUUAAUUUGGCCCAGUAGUUUCAGAGGAGAAGAUUUUUGUAAAAGUUAACGACGACGGACGACGACGACGACGACGACGGACGACGGACGACGGACGACGGACGCCAAGUGAUGGGAAAAGCUCACUUGGCCCUUCGGGCCAGGUGAGCUAAAAAUGAGAA